ensembl:lncRNA
GGAUCCGAUCCGCGUCUGCAACCUACAUCACAGCUCACAGCAACGCCGGAUCGUUAACCCACUGAGCAAGGGCAGGGACCGAAUCCGCAAGCUCAUGGUUCCUAGUUGGAUUUGUUAACCACUGCACCACGACGGGAACUCCAUCCCUGAUGUUUUGAUAUAGGAGUCUGUGUAUAGAUACAAGAUUGUUUUAAGUUGUUGGUCUCUUAAUUGUAAGUGCAUCUCCAGUGUCCUGCAUUUGUACCCUCCUCUUCUCACAAUUUCUGAUUUUGGUAGCAUAUUUGUGUGUGGAUGAUUUCCUACCUUUAUUGUAAAUACGCCUUUACUGGUGAGCCUUGUCAUUGGUGGUAUUUUUGUUUCUAGUUGUGACCUUUUCUUCUCUGCCUAGAGAAGUUCCUUUAGUAUUUGUUGUAAAGCUGUUUUAGUGUUGCCGAAUUUUCUUAGCUUUUGCUUAUCUGUAAAGCUUUUGAUUUCUCUUUCAAAUCUGAAUGAGAGCCUUGCUGGGUAGAGUAAUCUUGGUUGGAGGUUUAUUCCUUUCAUCACAUUCAGUAUAUUGUGCCAUUCCCUUCCGUUGUGCAGAGUUUCUGCUGAAAAAUCUGCUGAUAACCUUAUUGGAGUUCCCUAGUUAAUGUUUUUUGUUUCUUUCCUGUAGCUGCUUUCAAUAUUUUCUCUUUGACUUCAGUUUUGGUCAGUUUGAUUAAUAGGUGUCUUGGAGUAUUCCUCCAUGGGUUUAUUUUAUAUGGUGUUCUUGUGCUUCCUGCAUAUGAGUUUGUGAUUCCUUUUCCAUGUUAGGGAAGUUUUCAGCUAUUGUCCCUUAAAAUGUUUUUUCUGGCCCUUUCUCUUUUUCUUCAGGCCCUCAUGUUGUCCCAGAGUUCUCUUAGAUUGUCUUCAUUUCUUUUUAGUCUUUUUUUCUCUUUUCUUUUGCACAUCAAGUGAUAUCCACUAGUCUGUCUUCCACCUCACUUACUCAUUCUCCUCUCGCCUGUAUUCUUCUCUUGGUUGUUCCUAAUGAAUUUUUUUUGUCUUUUUAGGCCUGCACCCAUGCCAUAUGGAGGUUCCCAGGCUAGGGGUCUAAUCAGAGCUGUAGCCACUGGCCUACACCACAGCUCAUGGCAGUGCCGGAUUCUUGACCCACUGAGCCAGGCCAGGGAUUGAACCUGCAUCUUCAUGGAUGCUAGUCAGAUUUUUGCUUAAUCCUUAAAUCUUGUAUUUCUUUGCUCAGUGUUUGUUGUAAAUUAUCAAUCUUUGCCUCCAGUUUAUUUCCAAGAUCUUGAAUCAUCUUCACUAUCAUCAGUAUAAAGUCUCUUUCAUGGAGGUUGAUAAUCUCAAGAUCACUUAGCGGUUUUUCUAGCAUUAAAGGCCAGAGGGGCCUGUGUGCAAGAGUUUUUUCCUUGCUCCCUUAUCUAAGUCAUAAUUCUUUGCUUUUUCAUUUUGUAUAGAUUUUUGGUGUGGUCUCCUUUUUGCUGACAGUAGAGUUGUAGCCUCUCUUACUUCUGAUGUCUGCCCUCCUCGUGGCUGGUGUUGGUUGGGCGGCUUGCCAUAGGCUUCCUGAUGGGAAGGACUGGUGCCGGACCACUGUUAAGUGGAGCUGAUUCUUUUCCCUCUGGUGGGUGGGGCAUUGUCUCUGGGUGAGAAUAGAGAUGCCUCUGUGCCCUGGGGGAGGUUUAUCUUUAGGCAGCCAGUUUGUUGAUGGGUGGGGCUGUGAUGAUGCCCAGGUUAUUGUUUGGCUUGGAGCUUCUCAGCCCUGAUUGGGGGGGUCAGUUUUUUCCAGAGGAGCACAUGCUGAUGGUUAUUCCAGAGACCUUUGCCUCCCUCCAGUGUUGUUCCCCCACAGUGAGCCACAGUCACUGUUUUCCCAGGAGAUCCUCCAAGAACUGCAGUCUGGUCUGACCCAGAUUCCUAUGGUGUCACUGCUUUGCCCUGGGACUCAGGGCACAUGAAAGCCUGUGUGCACCUUUCAGGAAUGGGGUCCCCAUUUCCCCCAGUCCUGUGGAGCUCUUGCACACAAGCCCCUCUGGCCUUUAAUGCCAAAUGCUCAGGGGGCUCCUUCACCCCAUGCCAGAUCCCCAGGCAUGGGGACCUGACGUGAGGCUCAGAACUCUGACUCCUGUAGGUGAGUCUCUGUGAUAGUUACUUUCCAGUCUGUGGGCUGACAACCUGGCAUGUAUAGGGUUGCUUAUAUUGUGUAAUUGCUCCUCCUACUAUCUUGAUGUGGCCGCCUCUUUGUCUUCUGGGGUAGGAUAUCUUUUUAAUAGCUUGCAGUCUGUCUUGUUGAAGGUUGUUCAGCAGUUGGUUGUAAUUUUGCUGCUUUUAUGAGAGAAGGUGAGCUCUAGUCCUUCUACUCUGCCGUCUUAAUCCCAUCUUCCUUGCUGGGAACUUUUACAUAGUUGUGGUCUCAUUAGUACACUGAUCACUUGUACCAAAUUCUCUUAUCCGGUCAGCUUUUUGCUUCUUUGCCCUUAUAUUGGCUCUAUUGUGCUGGUGCCCAUAGCAACACAAACUUACAGCCCAGUAAUGCAGGGCAAGUACACUUCCUACACAGAAGCUUUUUCCUGUACUAGAUGUCAGCCCUGAGGAUGUAGAGCCUGGGAGUUUUUAAUGGAAAACCUCUGAGUUCCUUACUUUCUUCUGUUAGCCUCUCAGUUUGAAGUAGAAAAUAGUGCCCCUCUUGAGAAUAUUUGCCAGAUGUUCAGCUUUAGAGUGAAUUUAUUUCUUGGCUUCGUUAACAUCUCAAAGUGUCAAUGGUUUUAAUGUUACUAUUGGAAAAUUAUAAUCUGUUGUUUAACAUUUUUUAGUGAUACUGAAUUUUCAAUUUAAUAGUCAUUCGUUUGCUUUGGUAAGUUCUCCGUAUUUCCCAUAUUCCCCCAUACUUGGUUCUGUUCAGUUUUUUUAAGUUAAUUUCUUUGAAUAGAAAAUAAAAUUGUAAUAUAAAAAAAUGGUCUUCUUUAUCUGUUGAGUUUUUAAAUGCUUUUUUUUUUUUUUUUUUUUUGCCGCACCUCAGCAUAUGAAAUUGCUAGGCCAGGGAUCAGCCUAGCCACAGUGACCUACCCUGCAGCUGUGGCCAUGCCAGUUCCUUUAACCCACCGUGCUAGGCCGGGGAUUGAACCUGCGUUCUGGUGCAGCAGAGAUGCUGUUGAUGCUAUUGCACCUCACCUGGGAACCUCCAUGUGCUGCAGGAGCGGCCCAAGAAAUGGCUAAAAGACCAAAAAAAAAAAAAAAUGCAUUUCAUAAAUGUGUGUAAAAGGAUCUAAAAUCAUUGAAUGGUGGAAUAAAUUUCCUAAAGCCUGUUUUUUAAGUUGAUGAUACUUCUGUAGGUACAGACCUUUUCGAAAUCUGAGUCUCUGAUUUGGAACCAUAUAUGUACUUCUGGUCAUAAUGAUAAAAAAUUUUUAUUGAUUUGUGAGCUCAGAAGUAAAUUUUUCUUGGUCAUUAGAGUACUGGUGUUUGUAAAUUCAUUUCCUCUCUUCCCUGUAGAAUCCUAGCACAGGACUGGGUAUGUAGUUGAUAGGGACUCUUUUUAAAAAAAAAAAAAAGAAUUUCAGAACAGCUGCAGCAGAACGUUAAAUCAAGCAUGGAGUCCUAUGUGACUGCACAGGUUGCACACCCAUGAAGUUGGUUAAUAUUUUUUUUUUUUUUUUUUUUUUGGUCUUUUUAGGGCUGCACCCUUGACAUACGGAAAUUCGCAGGCUAGGAGUUCCAGUGAACUCCCAUAUACGUUCCUGUUCUUAUUCUCCUCCAUUAUGGUUGAUCACAGGAUAGUGCAUAUAGUUUCCUGUGCUAUAUAGUAGGACCUGGUUGUUUAUCCAUUCAGUGUAUAAUAACCUGCAUCUGCUAAACCCAAAACUCCCAAUUCACCCCUUCCCCUUGGCAACCACAAGUCUCUUCUCCGUCUGUGUCUUUGCCUAUGUUUAUUGGCCAUUUAGAUUUCCUUUGCAAUUGCCCAUUCAAGUCUUUCAUCCAUUUUUCUAUUGGAUUAUUUAUUCCUUUUUAAGAAAAAUUUCUGAUUUGUAGUUCUUUGUAUAUUCUGGAUACAUAGUUGGUUAAGUUUGGGCAAAUGCUUUUGUCCAUUUAUUUGCUUUUGUUUUCACUGUAUUUAUGGCUUUUUUAAUAAUAGAAGUUCUUAACUUAAACCAUAUGGGGAAAAAAACUAGAUACAUUUCACUACAUACCUAGUUUUUUUCCUUUAUAGUUGCUUUUUAUGUCUUUUAAGAGUCUUUCCAUAUCUAGAGGUCAUGAGACUAUUUUCUUAAACAUUUUUUGAAGGCUUGAUACAUUUUUUUUUUUUUUGUCUUUUGUCUUUUUAGGGCCACACCCACAGCAUAUGGAGGCUCCUAGGCUAGGGGUCGAAUAGGAGCUGUAUCCACCAGCCUACACCACAGCCACAGCAAUGCCAGAUCCAAGCCUUGCCUGUGACCUACACCACAGUUUAGGGCAAGGCUGGAUCCUUAACCCACUGAGCAAGGCCAGGGGUUGAACCCAUCUCCUCAUGGAUAUUAGUCAGGUUCGUUGACCACUGAGCCACGACCGGAACUCCAAGGCUUCAUGUUUUUGCUUUUUACAGUUAUGUUAGUAACUCACUUGAUGUUGUUUUAUGUUUGAAAUAGAGACCAAUUUCAUUUUUUCCCAUGUGGAUAUCAGUACCAGCACACUUUGCUGAAAGGCUAAUCCUUUUCCCACUGUUUACAUAGUAACUCUUUUCAUAAAUCAGGUGUCCAUUUAUGUGUGGCUGUGUUUCUUGGCUGCCUGUUCUGUUCCAUUUGUUCUUAUGGCAGUACCUUACCAUCUUUAGUAUGGUCUAAUCUUUAAGUCUUCACAUCUUGAUUCCUCUUCCCAUUUGAAGGACAUUUUAGCUUUUCUUUAACUUUUAUACUUUGCGAAUCAUUUCAACAUCUCCAUUAUGAAAAACCACACCCUGCCAGUAUUUUCAUUGAGAUUAUAUUGGAUCAUCAGUUCAAAUUAAGAGAAUUUAUAAUUUAUAGACUUGGUAAUUUAUUUUGGUCUUUAAUGUCAUUUAGUGCCUCCUUAUAAUUUUUCCCGAAGAGGUCUUGCACAUCUUUGUUGGAUUUAGUCCUGGCUGCUUGAUAGUUUUUGAUGCCGUUACACGUACAUUGCCUCUUUUCUUGACAUUUUUUUUCCUAGUGUAUACAUAAUUUCUGUAACCUGCAGUCUUGCUAAAUCUUUGUAAUUCUUUUCUUUAUAUAUUGUAAUCUUUUCCUUUAUACAUUUCUUUAUAUAAUAAGGAAUGAUAGUUUCCUAAUUUCGAACAUUUUAUUACAAAAGAUAUUCUAUAUCUGGUAAUAUUUCUUGCCUUAAAGUCUACUGCUUCUUUUAUUAAGUAUAGCCAAACCAGUUUUCCCUUUUUAAAUAUUUGCUUGAUGUCUUUCUUUAUAAUCUGUUUUCUAAAUUUUUUGUUUCCUUAAAUUUUCAGUUGUGUUUUCACAUGAUGUAUAGUUGGAUUUUUAAAUUUGAAGGUGCUGGAAAGGUACAGCUCAGUCUCUCUUCAGCAAAUUACCUCCAGAGCAGAUGCCAAUCCAAGUAUUGGACUCACCUCUCUGAAUUUCAGUCUUUUUUCGUAUCUUGAGGAAUUUGAUUUUGAUAAGAGCUUUAGAAUUUUAAAUAUUUUUAAAAAUUUUAUAAUUUUAAUUUUUUCCAUUAUAGCUGAGCUGGUUUACAGUGUUCUGUCAUUUUUCUACUGUAGAGCAAGGUGACCCAGUUACACAUACAUGUGUACAUUCUUUUUUCUCACAUUAUCAUGCUCCAUCAUAAGUGACUAGAUGUAGUUCCUGGUGUGAUACAGCAGGAUCUCGUUGCUUAUCCAUUCCAAAGGCAGUGGUUUGCUUCUCUUAACCCCAAAUUCCCAGUGCAUCCCACUCCCUUCCCCUCCCCCUUGGCAACCACAAGUCUGUUCCCCAUGUCCAUGAUUUUCUUUUCUGUGGAAAGGUUCAUUUGUGCUGUGUAUUAGAUUCCAGAGAUAAGUGAUAUCAAAUCAUUGGUAUUUGUCUUUCUGACUGACUUCACUUAGUAUGAGAGUCUUGAGUUCCAUACAUGUUGCUGCGAAGAAUUUUAAAUAUUUUAUCCAGUUUUUGAAGUUGUCUUUAGUAGGACUGGUGGUUUGAAUUGUAUUGCCGGAAGUGUUUUAACCUUUAUUUAAGUUUUCUGCUUUGGGUUUUAUGAUAAAAUUUUGUGUUGGAAGUCCUUCCAGCUAAAAACUGGGACUAAAUAGGUAGACUUGUAGGGAGUUGCUUUGGAUUGUAGAAUAGAAUUGGGGUCAGGGAUGCAACGUGAAUUGAUAUGUUAGAGGUCAAAGUAUAGCUAUAAAAUAUUAAGUGAAAUUUGUUAAUCAAAUGCAUUUUUGUGACUUGACUUCAUCCUGGGAUGAAAGCUGCUUUAACUUACCUACUAUGUUCUCAUUAGUUUUAUAGUAAACUGAAAGAAGCUUUCCUCCCUCUGUUGCUAGGCUGAGAAGCAUUAGAAUAAAAAUUGGAAGCAGGAAAAAUAUGCAACAGUGCCAGAAUGAAAACCAGGAAUGACGGAUCCCAAACAAACUUUGAACCCACUUGAAACUGUGUUUUCAUCCCAGUGAUAAUCUGAAAUAUUUUAUAAUGUGUUUAAAAAAAAAAUCUUAGCUCUGUUGAGGUUUGGGUGCAAAUGCAAGAUGAAAGUAGAAUUUUCAAGAAAUUUAGGGUGGCUCUUGGAUCUGCUAAUUGGGUGACAAAAGGAAUAAUUUUAAAAAUAGGCUUUCAGGGGUUCCUAUUGUGACAACCCCAAUAGUAUCCACAAGGAUGUGG